rnacentral:lncRNA from 1 species
CAUUUCGGGCGCUCCCACCUUGAUGAUCCCGAUCUGUUUGAAGUAAUCGGCCACCGACUCGAUGGUGACGUUCUCGCCCAGCCCCUGCACGAAGAUCGUGUUGUUGUCCGAGUUGUCCUGCUCGCCUGCAAUCAAUUAAUUACCGUUAAUUAGCACUAAUUACUGAGGAAAAGAUGCUAAUUAACCCUCAUUAACCCCGCCCCAAAGCUCAGAAAUUACCCCCAAGGCUCCACCUCCCAAUGCUCACCUAGAGAUCGUUAAUUAACUAAAUUAAUUAGCGUUAAUUACUGUUAAUCACCGCUAAUUAACCAUCAUUAACGCUGUCCUCAAGUUUAAAAAGGCCCCUUGUACUCACCUUGUUAAUUGUCACUAAUUAAUCCCUUUAACUUAAUUAAUUCCAACCCAAACCCUUAUUCCUCUUCAUUAUUACUAAUUAUCACUAAUUAUCACUAACUUCAUUAUCGCUAAUUAACUCCAAAAUAAACCCCAUUAAUUACCCCAGUAAUUAGCCCCACCAUCAAUUACCCACUUUAUUCCUCCUAAUUACCUCUAAUUACACAAUUAAUUAUUCCCAACAUAAUCUUUUACUCAGCCUGUUAAUUACCACUAAUCAAUCUCUUUAAUUUACCUAAUUAACCCAAAUUUAACUUUGAUUACCACUAAUUAACCAUUAUUAAUUACCACUUAUUCCCCCAAUUAUCACCAAUAAUUAACCCCCAAUAAACUCCAUUAAUUACUACAUUAAUUAACAUAACUUUAGCAAUUAUUUCCCAUUAAUUAAUUACCCCUAAUUAAUGAAUUAAUUAAUUACCUGGGUCAUGUCUGGGCCCCUGGUCCCGGGGUCCUUUUGGGGCCACACAUGAAAGAGAAAAACAAAUUAUGCAAAUUAGGAGAGCUGAAUUUGGGCGUGGCCAACCCAAACCCCGCCCCCUUUUCCUUGGCCCCGCCCCUUUCUGCCCCUCCCAGGCCCCAUUUUGGGGCAAAAUCCCCAAAUUUGGCACCAAAAUUUUCCUUUUUUCCACCUGAAAUUCAAAUUCUGGAACCUUCUUCCCAAAAAGGCUCCGAUUUCUCCUUUUUUUCUCCAUUUUUGUUUUUUUUUUUUUCUUUUUUUUUUUUCUUUGUUUUCCCCUCAUUUUUUCCUCCCAAUUUUACUGAAUUUCACCCAUUUUUUUCCUUAAUUUUUCCCUUAUUUUUCCCCCAUUUUUUGCCAUUUUUCCCUCAUUUUUUCCCUUUUUUUUACCCAUUUCUCCCUCUAUUUCCCCUUCAUCUUUUCCACUUUUUCACCACCAAAAAUUCACUUUUUUCCCUUCGGUUUUGGGUCCACUGCAGCUCCGACCUCACCCCCAUUUUGGGGCAAUUUCCACCUUUUUUAUUUCAGAUUUUAUUUCAGAUUUUCCACCAAAUAAAAAAAACCUCAAGGUCACCGGCGCUUCCACCAAAAUCCUCCUGAAAUUUGGGGUUUUUCCCCCAAAACCACCAAAUCACCAUUUUUUUCCACACAUGCAGCGUUUUAACCAAAAAUCUUUUUUUUUUUCCUUUUUUUCCCCCAAUCCCACCCUUCCAAAAUUCCCAUUUUCACCUCAUUUUUCCACCAUUUUCACCACAAAACCACCUUUGCGUUUCAAUUUUCAGCACCUAAAUUCCAUUUUUUUGGGGGGUUUUCCCCCACCCAGGAAAAAUGGGGGGAAAAUCCACCUUUGUUUAAAAAAUCCACCAUUUGUUCAAUUUUCUGCCUUUUUUUGGGGUCAAAACCUCGAAUUUUGGGACUUACCACCGAAUUUAUUGAAGCCACCACGCUCACCACCGCUGAGGAGAUAAAUUAGAAGAUAAUCAGGAAUUUUGGAAGCCCUGCCUCAAAACUGGGGGUGUGGAAAAAUCAACAAAAUCGGGACAAAAAUCACAAUUUUGGGGCUUUUUUCGGCAAUUUUGGAGCUUUUUUAUGGCAUUUUUUGGGCAUUUUUUGGUCAAUUUUUGAGCUUUUCUUUGCUUAUUUUGGGUCUUUAUUUUUUAGAUUUUUGCAGAGAAUUUUUCAGCUUUUCUAGGAAGGUUUUUGGUAAUUUUUGGGCCUUUUUUGGCAGAUUUUUGGCAAUUUUUGAGCAAUUUCUGGGCAUUUUUGUGCAAAUUUUGAGCUUUUUACCGCCAAUUUUUGGGCAUUUUUUCGGGCACUUUUCAGCUCUUUUUUGGCUUUUUAGGACAAUUCUGGAGCUUUUUUAAAGAACAUUUUUUGGGUAUUUCUGGGACAUUUUAUGGUCAAUUUAUGGCAUUUUUUGGGCAAUUUUGGGGCAAUUUAUGAAUUUUUUUUUGGCAGUUUUUCAGCGUUUUCCCGGAUAUUUUUGAAGUUUUUUUUCAGCCAUUCUUCAGCAUUUUUUUUAGCUUUUUAUGGCAUUUUUUGAGCUUUUCUUUUGCCUUUUUUGGGCCAUUUUUGAGCUUUUUUAAGGCAAUUUUUGGGUAUUUUUUG